rnacentral:rRNA from 1 species
UACAGAGGGUGCAAGCGUUGUUCGGAAUCAUUGGGCGUAAAGAGCGUGUAGGCGGCCAGAUAAGUCCGCUGUGAAAUCUCGAGGCUCAACUUCGAGCUGUCGGUGGAAACUGUCUGGCUAGAGUCCGGAAGAGGAGAAUGGAAUUCCUGGUGUAGCGGUGAAAUGCGCAGAUAUCAGGAAGAACACCCGUGGCGAAGGCGGUUCUCUGGGACGGUACUGACGCUGAGACGCGAAAGCUAGGGGAGCAAACGGG